ACCAUCCUCUCCCAUACUCUAGCUUCCCAGUUUUGAAUGCAAUUCCCAAGUUGAGCCCGGGGAUUUCACAUCCAACUUAAAAAACCACCUACGCACGCUUUACGCCCAGUAAUUCCGAUUAACGCUCGCACCCUCUGUAUUACCGCGGCUGCUGGCACAGAGUUAGCCGGUGCUUAUUCUGUCAGUAACGUCCACUAUCCAGGGUAUUAACUUACUGCCCUUCCUCCCUCCUUAAAAGGGUUUAACAACCAAAAAGCUUU
rnacentral:rRNA from 1 species